ACACAUGCAAGUCGAGGGGCAGCAUGGUCUUAGCUUGCUAAGGCCGAUGGCGACCGGCGCACGGGUGAGUAACACGUAUCCAACCUGCCGUCUACUCUUGGACAGCCUUCUGAAAGGAAGAUUAAUACAAGAUGGCAUCAUGAGUCCGCAUGUUCACAUGAUUAAAGGUAUUCCGGUAGACGAUGGGGAUGCGUUCCAUUAGAUAGUAGGCGGGGUAACGGCCCACCUAGUCUUCGAUGGAUAGGGGUUCUGAGAGGAAGGUCCCCCACAUUGGAACUGAGACACGGUCCAAACUCCUACGGGAGGCAGCAGUGAGGAAUAUUGGUCAAUGGGCGCAGGCCUGAACCAGCCAAGUAGCGUGAAGGAUGACUGCCCUAUGGGUUGUAAACUUCUUUUAUAAAGGAAUAAAGUCGGGUAUGUAUACCCGUUUGCAUGUACUUUAUGAAUAAGGAUCGGCUAACUCCGUGCCAGCAGCCGCGGUAAUACGGAGGAUCCGAGCGUUAUCCGGAUUUAUUGGGUUUAAAGGGAGCGUAGAUGGAUGUUUAAGUCAGUUGUGAAAGUUUGCGGCUCAACCGUAAAAUUGCAGUUGAUACUGGAUAUCUUGAGUGCAGUUGAGGCAGGCGGAAUUCGUGGUGUAGCGGUGAAAUGCUUAGAUAUCACGAAGAACUCCGAUUGCGAAGGCAGCCUGCUAAGCUGCAACUGACAUUGAGGCUCGAAAGUGUGGGUAUCAAACAGGAUUAGAUACCCUGGUAGUCCACACGGUAAACGAUGAAUACUCGCUGUUUGCGAUAUACGGCAAGCGGCCAAGCGAAAGCGUUAAGUAUUCCACCUGGGG
rnacentral:rRNA from 1 species